GACGAACGCUGGCGGCGUGCCUAAUACAUGCAAGUCGAGCGCAGGAAGCUGACGGAACUCUUCGGAGGGAAGGCAGUGGAAUGAGCGGCGGACGGGUGAGUAACACGUAAGGAACCUGCCUCAAGGAUUGGGAUAACUCCGAGAAAUCGGAGCUAAUACCGGAUAGUUCAACGGACCGCAUGGUCCGCUGAUGAAAGGCGCUUCGGCGUCACCUUGAGAUGGCCUUGCGGUGCAUUAGCUAGUUGGUGGGGUAACGGCCUACCAAGGCGACGGUGGAUAGCCGACCUGAGAGGGUGAUCGGCCACACUGGGACUGAGACACGGCCCAGACUCCUACGGGAGGCAGCAGUAGGGAAUCUUCCACAAUGGAUGAAAGUCUGAUGGAGCAACGCCGCGUGAGUGAUGAAGGUUUUCGGAUCGUAAAACUCUGUUGUAAGGGAAGAACACGUACGAGAGGGAAUGCUCGUACCUUGACGGUACCUUACGAGAAAGCCACGGCUAACUACGUGCCAGCCGCCGCCGUAA
rnacentral:rRNA from 1 species